rnacentral:misc_RNA from 1 species
GAAUGAAGAACGUAGUGAAAUGCGAUAAUUAAUGUGAAUUGCAGAAUUCAGUGAAUCAUCGAGUCUUUGAACGCACAUUGCGCCCCCUGGUAUUCCGGGGGGCAUGCCUGUCCGAGCGUCAUUGCUGCCCUCAAGCACGGCUUGUGUGUUGGGCUUCCGUCCCUGGCAACGGGGACGGGCCCAAAAGGCAGUGGCGGCACCAUGUCUGGUCCUCGAGCGUAUGGGGCUUUGUCACCCGCUCCCGUAGGUCCAGCUGGCAGCUAGCCUCGCAACCAAUCUUUUUAACCAGGUUGACCUCGGAUCAGGUAGGGAUACCCGCUGAACUUAAGCAUAUCAAUAAGCGGAGGA